rnacentral:rRNA from 1 species
GUUUCAGCAGCCGCGGUAAUACGUAGGGUGCAAGCGUUGUCCGGAAUUAUUGGGCGUAAAGGGCUCGUAGGCGGUCCGUCACGUCGGGAGUGAAAUCCUGGGGCUUAACCCCAGAACUGCUUCCGAUACGGGCAGACUAGAGGUAGGUAGGGGAGAAUGGAAUUCCUGGUGUAGCGGUGGAAUGCGCAGAUAUCAGGAGGAACACCAGUGGCGAAGGCGGUUCUCUGGGCCUUACCUGACGCUGAGGAGCGAAAGCGUGGGGAGCAAACAGGAUUAGAAACCCUCGUAGUCC